UGGGGAAUUUUGGACAAUGGGCGAAAGCCUGAUCCAGCAAUGCCGCGUGUGUGAAGAAGGCCUUCGGGUUGUAAAGCACUUUUGUCCGGAAAGAAAUCCUUGGCUCUAAUACAGUCGGGGGAUGACGGUACCGGAAGAAUAAGCACCGGCUAACUACGUGCCAGCAGCCGCGGUAAUACGUAGGGUGCAAGCGUUAAUCGGAAUUACUGGGCGUAAAGCGUGCGCAGGCGGUUUGCUAAGACCGAUGUGAAAUCCCCGGGCUCAACCUGGGAACUGCAUUGGUGACUGGCAGGCUAGAGUAUGGCAGAGGGGGGUAGAAUUCCACGUGUAGCAGUGAAAUGCGUAGAGAUGUGGAGGAAUACCGAUGGCGAAGGCAGCCCCCCUGGGCCAAUACUGACGCUCAUGCACGAAAGCGUGGGGAGCAAACAGGAUUAGAUACCCUGGUAGUCCACGCCCUAAACGAUGUCAACUAGUUGUUGGGGGAUUCAUUUCCUUAGUAACGUAGCUAACGCGUGAAGUUGACCGCCUGGGGAGUACGGUCGCAAGAUUAAAACUCAAAUGAAUUGACGGGGUCAUAGCUGUUUCCU
rnacentral:rRNA from 1 species